UCGCGUCAUGCGCCGUAGGCAGGAGCGGGGGACCCAAGGUAAGUGCCGUUGCCGGCAGUUGAGCCGGCACCGGCUUGGGGUGAAGCCGCACUCCGCGCAAGCGGGAGUGCGGCCGGGCAACUCAACCGGCCCGAACCCGACAGCUCACCUCGCAGGCGUCGGUGAGGGGAUCG
rnacentral:sRNA from 2 species